UGUAGUAAAAGCCCACCCCCGCGGCUACCUCAGGCGGGCGGCCCGACGGGGGGGAGGGGGCUGAAGGUUGGAUUCGGUGCCGCCUGCCGGUGGGCCCGGCUCCUGCAUUAGGCGCGGCCCCCCGGGGAAUUGGCUCCGUUGGGGGCUGAGCCGGCCACGCGCAGGGCCGGGCCGGGCCUCCCCUGGGAUCUGUUCUGGGGCCGCUUGGCUUCAGCACCUUCCUCAGUGAUGUAGAGACUGGUGUAGCCAGCGCGUAUAACGUUUGGGGACGAUACCAAGCUGGAAGGGGGUGCAAGCGCUUUGCAGUAAGUUUCCUGUGACACCCUGUACAAUGCAGUGCUGUAGAUCCUGCAAGGGACUCAAGUGAAACCACGCAAGUUUGUGGAAACUGUGGAGCUGCUGAUCAGCCUGAAAAAACUAUGACCCACAGAAGGACAAACAUUUCUGGCACAGUCUGGCUUGGCACCUCUCUGAUUCCACCCAGCCUUUGGCCUGCAACCUUCUCCCUCCAGGCACUUUGAAUGUACAUGUGGUUGGCAACACGUUGACUGCUUGAUACAAUGGCAGGAGGGUGCAGUGCUGAAUUGCCCGGGUAGUUCAUACACCCCCCGUCUCCAAGUGGUAUGGCUGGACAGACCCCUAUCCUGGGUCUUAAAAUGUGAGCGGAGAUGUGGUGAGGCUCCUGUGCUGAUCCCUCUGACCAGUUGGAGAAGCCAGAUUAGAGGCAGGUGGAUAAAGAUUCACAGCUAAGAAGUACAGUGCCUUUCUGGCUUCAGAGUCCCUCCCAUCAGAGUCCUGAUCAGAUUCCUCUCAUCUUGGGUCAGGGUCUGAACAAAGCUGCCAAGUUCCCCUCCCUCUUUGCUCACAAUGAAAACAUGGUAGCCGAGGUCAAUGAAGUCCAGUCUAUCAUCAAAUGAAAAAGAUGCAAGUUAAGGGGCCUGAACUUGGAAAAUGCUGAGGGCUCUUGAUGUUCACUGAAGUCAGUGGGAAUUAAGGACAUGCGCAGCACCUGGCAUGAUUGGCUCCUGCAGUUAGGGAGGAUCAAGUGGUCAAGCUUCAGAUAGCCAGGAAUUAGGAAAAUAGGUGCUUUGUCUGGCAGUGGCUGUUGGCCAUGUAAAAAUGACUGAAGAUGAGCUAGUCUACAACUUUCACUUGGCCAUCGACUUCCUGGUGUUCUUGCUGAAGAACUGUCAGAAUGUGCAUGUUGUACAUCAAGAGUACCAUGGGGAAACCACAGCGUCUCUACUAAACUGGCAGUAAUAAAUGUUUCAGAGCACCCAGUCA